rnacentral:rRNA from 1 species
CCUACGGGAGGCUGCAGUGAGGAAUAUUGGUCAAUGGUCGCGAGACUGAACCAGCCAAGCCGCGUGAAGGAUGACUGUACAGCGUGUUGUAAACUUCUUUUGUCAGGGAAUAAAGUGAGGCACGUGUGCCUGUUUGUAUGUACUUUAUGAAUAAGGAUCGGCUAACUCCGUGCCAGCAGCCGCGGUAAUACGGAGGAUCCGAGCGUUAUCCGGAUUUAUUGGGUUUAAAGGGAGCGUAGACGGUCCUGCAAGCCAGGGGUGAAAGCCCGGGGCCCAACCCCGGGACUGCCGUUGAAACUGGGCGGCUCGAGUGCGAGAGAGGCAUGCGGAAUGCGCGGUGUAGCGGUGAAAUGCGUAGAUAUCAGGCAGAACACCGAUGGCGAAGGCAGCCUGCUGGA